rnacentral:lncRNA from 1 species
GUGCUAACAAGCCUGGCCUCUACCUCUGCUAUUGCUGAAGCUCUCUCUCCUCUGAGACAGGAGAUUCACAGCAAUUGCCUUGCAGACACUUCUGGCAGCACAGAGCAGGGUCAGGGCUCAGCCCUGGAUGCCCAGAGCCCAUUCUGUGUUUGCAGUCAAGUCUCAAAAAGCUGCACCCUCUGAUGCUCCUCCAGCAGCCCAGUGUGUGUCCAGGGCAGGAACCCCAAAUGGAGAAGGCCCAGAAGGAGCCACUCUCAGCAGACCCCACUCUCCCCUUCUCAUACUUGGAUAAAGACAGGCAAGCCUGAAUGUGGUGUCUCACUUGUUUUAUUUCCCCUGGAUUAACACACAGCUCCAGUUAUCACCACAGCAGCAAAGCAGCCCCUGGGAGCAGCACAGACCAGGGCCAAGGGUGCAGUGCAGGAGCCAAGCCCUGGCUGAGUUUUGGUGGGGCACAGAGGGGAUAACAGAGCCCCUGGUUCUGCUCUCCAGCUGCCACCCCCUUCUCCCCAGCUUCUCUUGCAGCUGUGUUAAACAGAGGGUGGGUAAGCAAUUACCAGGAGUGUUUUCUUGGGAAGCCAACCUGCUGAAGCACUUGAAUGGCCUGUAGGCAAGGGAGGUGACGUCCAGGAACCAAGGCAUGCCAGUGGCUCAGAGGCACUCACAGUGUUCUCCCCUGCAGGUGCAGCAGUUGAAGAGAUGGAGCAAAUCAACCUUCCCUCACUCUUCCUGGGGUAAUGGCAUCUCCUCCAGAGCCUGGGCAACUGUUUAUCGAGAGGGCACAGAGCUUUAGGGUCCCUUUCAACUUAAGCCGUGCAAUGAUGCUAAGCCCUUGGUUCCCUGUCUUGCUCCUGAGGUCAACCAUCAGUACCCAUGGGUACAUGGGUGGGGGUACAAGCUGCAACAAUGAAGAGCAAAGCCCAACGCCCACUGCCAGUUUUAAGUCCUAGAAAUAAUGGCAGGGCUGGCUGAGGGUAGCAGAAAGGCACUGAAAAGGCACUGAGACGAAGCAGCAGGAAGCAAAAAUAAAGCUCCUGAGGAAGGUAAGCUCCAACCAAGGGCCUGGCUGUGCUUUCUAGGGCAACACCACUAGGUCUGCAGCCACAGCUUGGCAGGAGGGAGAGGGAGAGAGAUCCAUCAGCACACCUGAGACAUUUCUCUAGCAGAGGCUAAAGAGAAGCAGCUACUUCUGGCUGAGGAAGAUAAAAAGGGUCCUUGGAGGGGGUACAGCAGUGCUCGGGAAGGACAGGGAACCCCAGCAGCAAAGACGGGCCCAGCAGGAGAUGCUGGCACAGGGAGGAGGGGUCCCACCGAGAGCUGUGCUAAACACAGAAGAGGCACUCCUGAAAACUCCACAAUCAUAUUAACCUGUUAAUUUAUACAGCAUCUCUGUACAAAAAUAGAAAGGUUCUAAUAAGAUUAACAAUAUUAAAUAAAUAUUUAAUAGAAAAAAAAAAAAAAAGUCUUUGGCCUAGUUCAUAGCUCGUCCUUUGGGUUGAUGUUCAUUUCACUGCGUCCUACGUGCUCCUGGUCCAACAUGGCGAUCACUUCAUCUGCCUGGAUUCGCUCCAGCUCUCUGUAAAGUGGGUCCAAGGUAAACCAUAGAGCCACAGCGCACCGCUGCCCUUUGGUAACUGCCUUCACUCCAUGUGGGUUCUCACCACCGGAUGAGAAGCUGACCAUCCGUCCACACUUGGGCUUGAUGGAUGCCUGCAGGAAAACAGGCAAUGAGGGUGGCACACACUGGCCGUGUCUGGGUUCCCUGUGGCCCAGGGCCCUGCUGGGUGUCUGACCCCGAGACUAUGCCGGGCUCCUGCACGGUGCAGCCUCUGAG